AAAAAUCAAUAUUGCAGAACCUGUUUAAUCAUAAGCUGCAUCUGAUGAUACUUAAAAGUACAAGGCACGUACAAAUAUUUUACUGGUUAGGAAAACUUUUUCAAGAAAGAUGUGUCAAGGGUUGAUUAUAGAAAGUGAUUGUUUUCAGAAACCGGCUCCACCCUUUAUUCCUGAUCCUCUGUUCUGUUUCUGGUAGGUCAGUUUAAUGAAAGCCUAGACUAAAACACCCAUUUAAUCUAAGCAAAAGUUUAUUAUCUAAAUACAGUUUUUAUUAGAACAGAUUCGAGAAUACAUUUUCUCAUUUUUUGUUCUUUUUCUCAAAUAUUAAUGGAUAUAUUCUGGCUAAGGGCUCACUCAGCACUGAUCUGAGUAUUGGAAGCAUGUGGAAUGUAGAAAUCAUGUAUGGACAUGUUGAUGCAGUAGGGAAUUUCAUUUCCCAUUGGUGUCACAAUAGCUUCAACUUGCCAUAAAAGCACAGUUUAGGCAUGAAGGGUAGCAUGAACUUUCAAAACAUCAAGUAAAUGUGUAAGGUACUCAGACCUUCAUACUUCCAGAAAAAAAAGAUAUCCACUAUCAGAAAAAUUAGGAAGAAAGUUUCACUUCGGGCAUUUUAAUCUAAUGCUGUCCACGCUAAGAUUUCAAAUACUUUUUUUUCCCCCAGAACCUAGUUGGUGAAGACCACUGAAAAAGAUGAGAUGCUGUACUAGACAAGAGAAAGUUGGUUGCUGCUUUCAGGAACUGUGCCAAAAGGCUUUCUUUGCAUUCAAAGACGUCCCCCUCCACCCCCAAAUACUGAAGUUUACAGAUGCAGCUGCACCCCACUAGCCACCGUUACCUGCUUCUCAGUCUAUUUCUAAUCCCACCUUCUCUAGGGUCAGAUUUACGCAGUCUUGCCCAGGGACAAGUUUUCCAUGACACUGGAUUCAUCGCUCAGCUACAAUAUGGCAUUGUUAGCUCUAAUGGCUCAGCAAGAGCAGAAUGGUGGUUGAACAUACUUUUACAAGGAGCAAGGAUCUCUGGUUCAUAGGAAAUAAGACGCCUUGUGAGACAUUUGAACGCAGACCCUUAACUAGUUGCAGGGUCAGUCGUCAGAGAUGGGCAUUUGUCUAACCCUUUCCUAACGUGUGCUUAAGGCCUGGAUGAGGAGGAUGGCGCUGAGGCUGCGAACCAGGAGACCAGAACGCACCGACGGGUUUUAGACCACCCUGCGGGAGGAGGCGCUGGCCAUAGCCGCCGCAGGCAGACACGGGCCGGGUGCGGGCC
rnacentral:lncRNA from 1 species